rnacentral:rRNA from 1 species
GAUGAACGCUGGCGGCGUGCCUAAUACAUGCAAGUCGAGCGGACAGACGAGGAUCUUGCUCCUCUGACGUUAGCGGCGGACGGGUGAGAAACACGUGUAUAACCUCCCUGUAAGACUGGGAUAACUUCGGGAAACCGGCGCUUAUCCCGGAUAAGCUAUUGAACCGCAUGGUUCAAUAGUGAAAGACGGUUGUGGUGUAACGUAUAGAUGGUUCCGGGCCGGAUUAGCUAGUUGGUACGUUCACGGCUUUUCAAGGCAAGCAUGCGUAACCGACCUGAGAGAGUGGUAGGCGACCCGGGAGGUGAACCGCGGUCCAGACGCCUGCGGGAGGGAGCAGUAGGGAAUGGUACGCAGUGGGCGAAAGCCUGACGGAGCAACGCCGCGUGUGAGAUGAAAGUCUUCGGUUCGUAAAACUCGGUUAUUAGGGAAGAACAAAUGUGUAAGGAACUAUGCACGUCUUGACGGUACCUAAUCAGAAAGCCACGGCUAACUACGUG